GAUGAACGCUGGCGGCGUGCUUAACACAUGCAAGUCGAACGUGAGGGGGUAGCGAUAUCUCUGAAAGUGGCGAACGGGUGCGUAACACGUAGGUGACCUGCCCUGGAGCGGGGGAUAACCACUGGAAACGGUGGCUAACACCGCAUGGUGCUGCGGUACUGGGAAGUACGGCGGCUAAAACUGAGGUGCUCUGGGAGGGGCCUGCGGCCGAUUAGCUAGUUGGUGGGGUAAGGGCCUACCAAGGCGACGAUCGGUAGCUGGUCUGAGAGGACGAUCAGCCACACGGGAACUGAGACACGGUCCCGACUCCUACGGGGGGCAGCAGUGAGGAAUAUUGGGCAAUGGGGGGAACCCUGACCCAGCAACGCCGCGUGAAGGAUGACGGCCUUCGGGUUGUAAACUUCUUUUGUGGGGGAAGAGGGAGGACGGUACCCUGCGAAUAAGUCACGGCUAACUACGUGCCAGCCGCCGCCGUAAAAC
rnacentral:rRNA from 1 species